rnacentral:rRNA from 1 species
AUUGAACGCUGGCGGCAUGCUUUACACAUGCAAGUCGAACGGUAACAGGCCUUCGGGUGCUGACGAGUGGCGAACGGGUGAGUAAUGCAUCGGAACGUACCCAGAGGUGGGGGAUAACGCAGCGAAAGCUGUGCUAAUACCGCAUGUGAUCUGAGGAUGAAAGCGGGGGACCGAGCAGCAAUGUUUGGCCUCGCGCCUUUGGAGCGGCCGAUGUCGGAUUAGCUAGUUGGUGGGGUAAAGGCCUACCAAGGCGACGAUCCGUAGCUGGUCUGAGAGGACGACCAGCCACACUGGGACUGAGACACGGCCCAGACUCCUACGGGAGGCAGCAGUGGGGAAUUUUGGACAAUGGGCGCAAGCCUGAUCCAGCAAUGCCGCGUGCGGGAAGAAGGCCUUCGGGUUGCAAACCGCUUUUGGCAGGAACGAAACGGUGUCCGCUAAUACCGGGCGCUAAUGACGGUACCUGCAGAAUAAGCACUGGCUAACUACGUG